AUGAUGGCAAUUACAUUGGAGAAUUUGCCUUCUAUGCCUGCUGUUGUCAGAACAACUAUUGGAAGUUUCUCUCUCAAAAAAAAAACUAUUGGAAGUUUGCUGAUACUUUGCCACAUAAUCUCUUUAACAUCAGUAUCUACAGACGCUCCUAUGCAGGUGUUUCCAGAAGCACUCCUCCAUCAGAUAUUGAUAUCCAUGGUACAUCCAGACGCAGACACUCGUGCGGGGGCGCACCACAUAUUUUCUGCUGUAAUUUUCCGAGGCCCAAGCCAUCAGAGGGAAGAGCAAAGGCACAGCGCCUUAGCCUACCAUAUCUGCCACUCAUUCUACAUCCGACGCACAGGAUUGAUGAGUGCAAAACACACCCAGACUUGGAAAGUCUUGGAUUUGUUGAACCUGCUGUGCUUGUUGCGCUCCAGUUUCUUGACGAUUUGCAGCAUGAUUGAGGUGCCUUGGGAGUUCCAUCCAGAUUUAGCUCUUUUCCUUGAUGGCCCUGCAAGGUGGCUGAUCCAUGAGGAGCUGGUUGUGGCCUGUCCGCUGUACUAG
rnacentral:rRNA from 1 species